rnacentral:lncRNA from 1 species
AGCAAAGAGAGAGAGAGAGAGAGAGAGAGAGAGAGAGAGAGAGAGAGAGAGAGUUUGAAGGAAAAAAAAAACACAGAGAGAGAAAGAGAGCUUGAGGGGGAGAGGAGGACGGCGGCCGAGGAGCGAGGAGGCCUCGUCGCCUCAAUCCGACAUCAUCUCAACCACCGCCUUCCUGCCCGACGCCCAUCCUUCGCGCCGUUGCUACCGAAGCGCCAGACAUCCGCCAUCACCGCCGCACCCCG